GACGUAGGGCGCGAGCGUUGUCCGGAUUUAUUGGGCGUAAAGAGCUCGUAGGCGGCUUGUCGCGUCGAUCGUGAAAACUUGGGGCUCAACCCCAAGCCUGCGGUCGAUACGGGCAGGCUCGAGUUCGGUAGGGGAGACUGGAAUUCCUGGUGUAGCGGUGAAAUGCGCAGAUAUCAGGAGGAACACCGGUGGCGAAGGCGGAUCUCUGGGCCUUACCUGACGCUCAGGUGCGAAAGCUAGGGGAGCGAACAGG
rnacentral:rRNA from 1 species